rnacentral:rRNA from 1 species
AGCAGUGGGAGCACCUUCGGGUGUGACUGCGUACCUUUUGUAUAAUGGGUCAGCGACUUAUAUUCUGUAGCAAGGUUAACCGUAUAGGGGAGCCGCAGGGAAACCGAGUCUUAACUGGGCGUUAAGUUGCAGGGUAUAGACCCGAAACCCGGUGAUCUAGCCAUGGGCAGGUUGAAGGUUGGGUAACACUAACUGGAGGACCGAACCGACUAAUGUUGAAAAAUUAGCGGAUGACUUGUGGCUGGGGGUGAAAGGCCAAUCAAACCGGGAGAUAGCUGGUUCUCCCCGAAAGCUAUUUAGGUAGCGCCUCAUGAACUCAUCUUCGGGGGUAGAGCACUGUUUCGGCUAGGGGGUCAUCCCGACUUACCAACCCGAUGCAAACUACGAAUACCGAAGAAUGUUAUCACGGGAGACACACGGCGGGUGCUAACGUCCGUCGUGAAGAGGGAAACAACCCAGACCGCCAGCUAAGGUCCCAAAGUCAUGGUUAAGUGGGAAACGAUGUGGGAAGGCACAGACAGCCAGGAUGUUGGCUUAGAAGCAGCCAUCAUUUAAAGAAAGCGUAAUAGCUCACUGGUCGAGUCGGCCUGCGCGGAAGAUGUAACGGGGCUAAACCAUGCACCGAAGCUGCGGCAGCGACGCUUAUGCGUUGUUGGGUAGGGGAGCGUUCUGUAAGCCUGCGAAGGUGGCCUGUGAGGGCUGCUGGAGGUAUCA